UUUGGUGUAUUUUUAAUGAUAUAUAUGAGUAGUCAAAAUAAUUAUUACGUCUGGCAAGGCUUUUUAAAUUUUAUUCUGGGACACCUUCCUAUGACCACAAGGCUAUGUUAAUUUUUUUCUGGGACGCCUUCUUAGGAAGCCUUCCUACGAACGUCUUAGGAAGGCGUCCCAGAAAAAAAUAAAAUAGCCUUGUCAGACGUCAUUAUUAUUUGGACUAAUACAUCAGAUAUUUGGAUAUUUUUAUGCAUU
rnacentral:lncRNA from 1 species